UUAGGUGAGUAGAGGUGUACAGGUUAGUGUUAGGGCGUGAUGUUACUCUUGAGCUGGUACCCCGUUACCCUUUGGGGUCGCUAGGGCUGACAGACCCCCUAGCUUACACUGUCACUCAGUACACCGUCAAAACGCACAUAGGGGCAAAAAUAUCUAUUAUUUCAGUCUUGAAGGAGCGAUGAUUGGAGUCAUACCCUGGCGAGCAGAAGGUGGUGGCAGAUGUUAGAGUUGUGAUACUUGAGUUACCAAGGUGACACGCUUGAGGACCCUCGACGUGGAUGACGUUGUUACCAUCGCGUGUAGUUACUCUCGGGGGACAACCUCCAGCUGUUGAAGGAUCAAGUUUCUUCCAUAGAAGAUAUCUGCGGCCUGAUCACUUUGGGGGUUCCGACGGAGCACGCACAAGGGCGAACGCCUCGGCUGGCCGCUGUAACUAGGAAUGUGUGUCCACCUCAUGGCCGCAGUAGUCUUGCCCUCGCCCUCCAUCCCUUUUCC